UACGUAGGGGGCAAGCGUUGUCCGGAAUUAUUGGGCGUAAAGGGCGUGCAGGCGGUCUGUUAAGUGCAGGGUGAAAGCUCCCGGCUCAACUGGGAGAGGUCCUUGGAUACUGGCGGACUUGAGGGGGGUAGAGGAAAGUGGAAUUCCCGGUGUAGUGGUGAUAUGCGUAGAUAUCGGGAGGAACACCCGUGGCGAAGGCGGUUCUCUGGGCCGGUACUGACGCUGAGGCGCGAAAGCGUGGGGAGCGAACAGG
rnacentral:rRNA from 1 species